AUACGGAGGAUGCAAGCGUUAUCCGGAUUUAUUGGGUUUAAAGGGUGCGUAGGCGGUUUGCUAAGCGGGAGGUGAAAUGCCGGGGCUCAACGUCGGAAGUGCCUCCCGAACUGGUGGACUUGAAUGACUCUGCCGUGGGAGGAAUGUGUAGUGUAGCGGUGAAAUGCUUAGAGAUUACACAGAACACCGAUUGCGAAGGCAUCUCACGAAGGGUUGAUUGACGCUGAGGCACGAAAGCGUGGGGAUCAAACAGGAUUAGAUACCCUGGUAGUCCACGCAGUAAACGAUGAUGGCUAACCGCUGGGCUUAUCAGUUCAGUGGCCAAGCGAAAGCGAUAAGCCAUCCACCUGGGGAGUACGACCGCAAGGUUGAAACUCAAAGGAAUUGGCGGGG
rnacentral:rRNA from 1 species